rnacentral:rRNA from 1 species
UGGGGAAUAUUGCACAAUGGGCGAAAGCCUGAUGCAGCAACGCCGCGUGAGGGACGACGGCCUUCGGGUUGUAAACCUCUUUUAGCAAGGAAGAAGCGAAAGUGACGGUACUUGCAGAAAAAGCGCCGGCUAACUACGUGCCAGCAGCCGCGGUAAUACGUAGGGCGCAAGCGUUAUCCGGAAUUAUUGGGCGUAAAGAGCUCGUAGGCGGUUUGUCGCGUCUGCUGUGAAAACCCGAGGCUCAACCUCGGGCCUGCAGUGGGUACGGGCAGACUAGAGUGCGGUAGGGGAGAUUGGAACUCCUGGUGUAGCGGUGGAAUGCGCAGAUAUCAGGAAGAACACCGAUGGCGAAGGCAGAUCUCUGGGCCGUAACUGACGCUGAGGAGCG